rnacentral:rRNA from 1 species
UACGUAGGGCGCAAGCGUUGUCCGGAAUUAUUGGGCGUAAAGAGCGCGCAGGCGGUCGUGCAAGUCGCGUGUGAAAGCCCCCGGCUUAACUGGGGAGGGUCAUUCGAUACUGCUCGGCUCGAAGACAGGAGAGGGAAGUGGAAUUCCCGGUGUAGUGGUGAAAUGCGUAGAUAUCGGGAGGAACACCUGUGGCGAAAGCGGCGCACUGGACCAUAACUGACGCUGAGGCGCGAAAGCUAGGGGGAGCAAACAGG